rnacentral:rRNA from 1 species
GAUGAACGCUGGCGGCGUGCCUAAUACAUGCAAGUCGAGCGGAUGGAAGGAAGCUUGCUUCCUAAAGUCAGCGGCGGACGGGUGAGUAACACGUGGGCAACCUGCCCCUAAGAUCGGGAUAACUUCGGGAAACCGGAGCUAAUACCGGAUAUGCUUAUGUCUCACAUGAGACAUAAUGGAAAGACGGUUUCGGCUGUCCGCUAGGGAUGGGCCCGCGGCGCAUUAGCUAGCUGGUGAGGUAACGGCUCACCAAGGCGACGAUGCGUAGCCGACCUGAGAGGGUGAUCGGCCACACUGGGACUGAGACACGGCCCAGACUCCUACGGGAGGCAGCAGUAGGGAAUCUUCCGCAAUGGACGAAAGUCUGACGGAGCAACGCCGCGUGAGUGAAGAAGGUUUUCGGAUCGUAAAACUCUGUUGUUAGGGAAGAACAAGUACCAUAGUAACUGAUGGUACCUUGACGGUACCUAACCAGAAAGCCACGGCUAACUACGUGCCAGCCGCCGCGGUAAUAC